rnacentral:misc_RNA from 1 species
GAUGAAGAACGUAGCGAAAUGCGAUAAGUAAUGUGAAUUGCAGAAUUCAGUGAAUCAUCGAAUCUUUGAACGCACAUUGCGCCCGCCAGUAUUCUGGCGGGCAUGCCUGUCUGAGCGUCAUUUCAACCCUCAUGCCCCUAGGGCGUGGUGUUGGGGAUCGGCCAAAGCCCGCGAGGGACGGCCGGCCCCUAAAUCUAGUGGCGGACCCGUCGUGGCCUCCUCUGCGAAGUAGUGAUAUUCCGCAUCGGAGAGCGACGAGCCCCUGCCGUUAAACCCCCAACUUUCCAAGGUUGACCUAAGAUCAGGUAGGAAUACCCGCUGAACUUAAGCAUAUCAAUAAGCGGAGGA